GACGAACGCUGGCGGCGUGCUUAACACAUGCAAGUCGAACGGAAAGGCCCUGCUUUUGUUGGGUGCUCGAAUGGCGAACGGGUGAGUAACACGUGAGUAACCUGCCCUUGACUUUGGGAUAACUUCAGGAAACUGGGGCUAAUACCGGAUAGGAGCUCCUGCUGCAUGGUGGGGGUUGGAAAGUUUCGGCGGUUGGGGAUGGACUCGCGGCUUAUCAGCUUGUUGGUGGGGUAGUGGCUUACCAAGGCUUUGACGGGUAGCCGGCCUGAGAGGGUGACCGGCCACAUUGGGACUGAGAUACGGCCCAGACUCCUACGGGAGGCAGCAGUGGGGAAUAUUGCACAAUGGGCGGAAGCCUGAUGCAGCAACGCCGCGUGCGGGAUGACGGCCUUCGGGUUGUAAACCGCUUUCGCCUGUGACGAAGCGUGAGUGACGGUAAUGGGUAAAGAAGCACCGGCUAACUACGUG
rnacentral:rRNA from 1 species